rnacentral:lncRNA from 10 species
CAGUGGGAAAAAUUACCUACCCAAGGGCAGACAACAGGUAGAGCCCAUAUUCGAAUCCAGGUUUGCCUAACUCCAGAAUCCGUGCCCAUGUCCCCUGUGAUCGAUACCUGGCUCUGGGCUUCCCGAGUGCCUUGGCGGCCCUAAGGUCCCCAAAGGGUGACGCUUUUUCAAAGAGGCUCCUGGCACGACCCCAAAGGCUUGGGGACAGUCCGACCCCAGCCUGGGAACACGAGACACGCAUAAACGCGCCUCGAGACCGCUUGGCAUCAACAAAGGGUGCGCCGC